rnacentral:rRNA from 1 species
CCGGUUGAUCCCGCCGGAGGUCACUGCUAUCAGUGUUCGACUUAGCCAUGCAAGUCAAAUGUUCUUCAUGGUGAACAUGGCGAACUGCUCAGUAACACGUGGAUAACCUGCCCUUAGGAUUGGCAUAACACCGGGAAACUGGUGAUAAUUCCGAAUAGACCAUUUAUGCUGGAAUGCUUUUUGGUUCAAAGGCUUCGGCUGCCUAAGGAUGGAUCUGCGGCCUAUCAGGUAGUAGUGGGUGUAAUGUACCUACUAGCCUACGACGGGUACGGGUUGUGAGAGCAAGAGCCCGGAGAUGGAUUCUGAGACAUGAAUCCAGGCCCUACGGGGCGCAGCAGGCGCGAAAACUUUACAAUGCGGGAAACCGCGAUAAGGGGACACUGAGUGCCAGCAUAUUAUGUUGGCUGUCCACAUGUAUAAAUACCAUGUGUUAGCAAGGGCCGGGCAAGACCGGUGCCAGCCGCCGCGGUAACACCGGCGGCCCGAGUGGUGAUCACUUUUAUUGGGUCUAAAGGGUCCGUAGCCGGUUUGAUCAGUCCUCCGGGAAAUCUGACAGCUUAACUGUUAGGCUUCCGGGGGAUACUGUCAGACUUGGGACCGGGAGAGGUAAGAGGUACUACAGGGGUAGGAGUGAAAUCUUGUAAUCCCUGUGGGACCACCAGUGGCGAAGGCGUCUUACCAGAACGGGUCCGACGGUGAGGGACGAAAGCUGGGGGCACGAACCGGAUUAGAUACCCGGGUAGUCCCAGCCGUAAACGAUGCUCGCUAGGUGUCAGGGACGGUGCGACCGUUUCUGGUGCCGCAGGGAAGCCGUGAAGCGAGCCACCUGGGAAGUACGGCCGCAAGGCUGAAACUUAAAGGAAUUGGCGGGGGAGCACUACAACGGGUGGAGCCUGCGGUUUAAUUGGAGUCAACGCCGGAAAUCU